GCAUCAUCAAAGCUUGCUUAGAUGGAUGGCGACCGGCGCACGGGUGAGUAACACGUAUCCAACCUGCCGACAACACUGGGAUAGCCUUUCGAAAGAAAGAUUAAUACCGGAUGGCAUAGUUUUCCCGCAUGGGAUGAUUAUUAAAGAAUUUCGGUUGUCGAUGGGGAUGCGUUCCAUUAGGCAGUUGGCGGGGUAACGGCCCACCAAACCAACGAUGGAUAGGGGUUCUGAGAGGAAGGUCCCCCACAUUGGAACUGAGACACGGUCCAAACUCCUACGGGAGGCAGCAGUGAGGAAUAUUGGUCAAUGGACGAGAGUCUGAACCAGCCAAGUAGCGUGAAGGAUGACUGCCCUAUGGGUUGUAAACUUCUUUUAUACGGGAAUAAAGUUAGCCACGUGUGGCUUUUUGUAUGUACCGUAUGAAUAAGGAUCGGCUAACUCCGUGCCAGCAGCCGCGGUAAUACGGAGGAUCCGAGCGUUAUCCGGAUUUAUUGGGUUUAAAGGGAGCGUAGGCGGGUUGUUAAGUCAGUUGUGAAAGUUUGCGGCUCAACCGUAAAAUUGCAGUUGAUACUGGCGACCUUGAGUGCAACAGAGGUAGGCGGAAUUCGUGGUGUAGCGGUGAAUGCUUAGAUAUCACGAAGAACUCCGAUUGCGAAGGCAGCUU
rnacentral:rRNA from 1 species